rnacentral:rRNA from 1 species
CCCUUAGAUGUUCUGGGCCGCACGCGCGCUACACUGAUGCAUUCAACGAGCCUAUCCUUGACCGACAGGUCCGGGUAAUCUUUGAAUCUGCAUCGUGACGGGGAUAGAUUAUUGCAAUUAUUAAUCUUCAACGAGGAAUUCCUAGUAGGCGCAAGUCAUCAGCUUGCGUCGAUUACGUCCCUGCCCUUUGUACACACCGCCCGUCGCUCCUACCGAUUGAGUGUUCCGGUGAAUUAUUCGGACUGCAACAGUUAUCUGUCGCGGAAAGUCUUGUGAACCUUAACACUUAGAGGAAGGAAAAGUCGUAACA